ACUAUCAGAAAGGUUUAGCUGAUGUCCUCUUGCGUCUCUCAUUGUGUAGACAAUGGAGCCACUGUUUAAGGUCAAAUUUGCCGGGGACACACUGGUGAAGAGCCCGUACAAAGUUCCCCUUCAGAAGAUAUUCUACACUCCAUAAUAUCAAAAUAGCGGGGGCAUCAUUAGUGACAACUACUACUAGUGAUAUGUCGUAAUUCGGUAACACACAUGUGGGCAGCAGAGUAGAAAUACUCUUGGGAAGAGGUUAUUUUUUCCACGGCAUCGAAAUUCAAAAUGGCUGCCGAAGGGCAGGGAUCUCAACAUCGAAAACCGAGUUAAAGAAAGCUUCCUUCCAUGGGGGAAUUAAUCAAUAUGGGUAUGGAACUUUUGGGUAUUGGAAGAAAGAAACCACGCAAAAAAACGCAUUAGAAGUUCAGCACAGAUCCUAUUACUGGGAUACGCAAUAAAAACAAAGGAAACUAUUCUAGUCGGCUACAGAAGCAACGGAGAAAGACCUCUAAUGAUGGCAGAUUAAUCCCCAUUCAUUGCGCUGAAUUUUGUCUAGAAGAGAAGCAUGCAUACGAUUCAAUGCGCUGUAAUUUCGUGAAUGGUAAUAAAACACCACAUGCCGAUUUUUAAAUACAAAGUCGAAGUUCUCAAAAUGAUGCCACAUUCUAACCAAAAAUAAUUCGCUUGAACGAUAACUAAUAAUCGCACGUAUAAUCGAUGAGUUUGCAGUCACCUACCAAAUUAGUCAUGUUCGGUUUUUAUCAUAAGGAAAAUAGCUUUUCACCUGCUAAUAUCCACCACCUUUGUUUCAAAUGAUAAAAAAAAUAUCAAUAGAUAUAAGCUACAUAU
rnacentral:misc_RNA from 1 species